UGGGGAAUAUUGGGCAAUGGGGGGAACCCUGACCCAGCAACGCCGCGUGAAGGAAGAAGGUUUUCGGAUUGUAAACUUCUGUCCUUGGUGAAGAGGAAGAGACGGUAGCCAAGGAGGAAGCCCCGGCUAACUACGUGCCAGCAGCCGCGGUAAUACGUAGGGGGCGAGCGUUGUCCGGAAUUACUGGGCGUAAAGGGCGCGCAGGCUGUAGAUCAAGUCAGCUGUGAAAUGUCUGGGCUUAACCCGGGCAUGCGGUUGAAACUGAUGUACUGGAGUGCUGUAGAGGCAAGUGGAAUUCCCAGUGUAGCGGUGAAAUGCGUAGAUAUUGGGAAGAACACCGGUGGCGAAGGCGACUUGCUGGGCAGCAACUGACGCUGAGGCGCGAAAGCCAGGGGAGCAAACGGG
rnacentral:rRNA from 1 species